rnacentral:rRNA from 1 species
CACGUAGGGCGCAAGCGUUGUCCGGAAUUAUUGGGCGUAAAGAGCUCGUAGGCGGUCUGUUGCGUCCGCUGUGAAAACUCGGGGCUUAACCCCGAGCCUGCAGUGGAUACGGGCAGACUAGAGGUAGGUAGGGGAGAAUGGAAUUCCCGGUGUAGCGGUGAAAUGCGCAGAUAUCGGGAGGAACACCGGUGGCGAAGGCGGUUCUCUGGGCCUUCCUGACGCUGAGGAGCCGAAAGCGUGGGGAGCAAACAGG